AACCUAAAAAAAGAGGAGAAAGGUUAGGCCAAGGCCAUGAGGGCUGGGGCCAACACUGUCCUGGAUAGGCUAGUUUUUUCUCCCUUUGCCAUGGAGAUUGAAGCACCCUUAGUGUUGCACCUGCCAAAAAAGUUCUCUCCCUUUACCAGAGGCCCUUCAUGCGGCACAUGCCAAAAUAAUUCUCAUUACUGAAGUUCAUGACCUACAAUGGGAGGUCAGACCCUUAUAUGCACACUAGCCACUUUUUCCAAAUGAUGUCCUUUUAGAGUGAGAACAAGGCAUUGAUGUGCAAGGUCUUCCCUUCUAACUUGGGAGAGGCCAGACUCCGAUGGUUGAUAAAUUAUCGGUAAGGUCCAUGUCAAGCUGGAAGCAGCUUUUGGAACCCUUCAUAGCAAGGUUUGUCACCAAAAAGGAGCCCAAGGAGGUGGAUGCCUUGCUCGCUUUAAACAAAAGCCAUUAGGAGUCACUCCGGGAUGACACUCGAAGGUAUUGGGAUGCCUAUAAUGAGAUCAAAGUAUGCAAUGAAGAGGUCGUUGCAUCGUUCAAGCAUGGCCUUACCCUAGGGGACUUACUCCAAGAUUCGCUUACAAAGUGAUAGGCUAUGUCCAUUACCAAGCUAAUGGAGAGGGUGGACCGGCAUGCAAGGUUAGAGUAGGAUAAUAGUCACACCCAAAUCGAUAGGUGGCAACCCUCCCAAGGGAAUCCUAGGCGCGGAGAGGCAAGGGAGUCCGUUAGGGAAAAGCCAAACCAAACGAAUCAAUCAACAUGAUGUUUGAAGAGCCAACAUACAAGAUCUUACCAAAGAUCCAAAACCAACCGUACUUCUCUUUUCCACCUAAGAUGAGAGAAAACUCAGAAAUGAGAAAGCCUAAGUUUAGAUACUUGUACACCAGGAGUAUGGGCAUAUGAUUGAAAGUUGCUAGGCUCUUAAGCAACAAUUGGAGGAUUUGGCCACGGCUGGGCAUCUCAAGGAGUACAUAUACACAAGAGAAGACCAAAGCCAAAAAGCUUACAGAAUGGAAGGGACAUGAAGGGAAUGCCUCGGAUGCCUCACUUGGAGUCAUUAACAUGAUCUAUGUAAUUAAGGGUCUGAGUUAAGAAAGUGACCUCUAGAGGAAACUUCAAGAGGUAGGUUGGACGAGGCUUUUGGAGACACAAAUGGCAUUAAAGAAGUACCUCAUAGCCACACCAAAGUCCAAAUCGAAGUUAGAUGAAGUCCAUAUGGUGGAGGUGCCAGACUAGUCAUUAUAAGAGGAGAUUAGUGGGGAGUGUUAAGGUUUCAGCAUAGGUGAAACAUUGUAAGAAGGUAUUACAGUCGGGAGGAGCAGUUAGAAUAAAAUCUUUGUAAUUGGAACAAUAUUUAGUCUUGAAAUAAAAGUCAUUUUUCUUUUCAAUUGUGUGGAAACUUGCUUAAGAGGUGGACUGUCUUUUAUGUUUCAACAAUUGUCUUAAUGAGGGUCAAAUUAUCGUGAUUGCUCGCUUGGUCCAAUAAGGCUAAACUAGAUUGCGGGUGGAGAAGGAGUUAGAUAGGGUCACCCAAACCCUUAUUGAGAGAAAGAAGUGGAUAGGCAUUUAGGGAAGAACUAUGGCCAAGCUGGAUUGGAUCGUUGGAUUAAUUUCUUUGGCCAAUUGGGUGUGCUUGAAAGUAGUACAUGAGCUUUUGGGUGGUAAUGAGUAAGGGAAGCACAAGCUUCUCCACUGGUAGAUACCUUAUUUAGCAAUCUUUAAAUGUUUUGUUAACGAAGUAGAUCAAUCAAUGCUCUCCAUUUACCUCCCUCAGCAACACUGAGCUAGCAGCGUGUUCGGAGACGGUGGGGUAGACGUAGAGGAGCUCUUCCUCAUCUGGAGUGGAAAGAAGUGGCAGCUUGAUUAGGUAUUCCUUAAAUUAUUAGAGCGCGAGUUCGCACUCUUCAUUCCAAAAAAAAUUUGUGUUUUUGCGGAGGAGAUGAAAAAAUGAGCGGCAUUUGUCAGAAGACUUAAUAAUGAAACGGUUAAGUGCUUUCGUCAUUCCUGUUAGCUUCUGAACCUUCUUUGCAUUUUUGGACUCUCGAGAUCAUUGGUAGCCAUAAUUUCUUCUGGGUUGGCUUCAAUUCCUCGUCGAGUGACUAAGUGCCCCAAGAACUUACAUGAGAUAAUCCCAAAGACACACUUCGCUGUAGUCUCAGCUUGUAGGCUCCGUUUGGCACCAGCUUUUUUUAGCUUUUUUUUUGGCUUUUUGGCUUAAAAUAAGCAAAAAAACCAAUCAGAGUUGGCUUUUUUGCUUUUUUGCUUUUGCUUUUUUGCUUAGUUUUAGCUAAAGUAAAGCCACAAUAGCAAAAAAAUUAAAAAUUCUUAGCCUUAUUGGUAGCAAGCUUAAAAAAAGCUUGGCUUUUAAGCAUUACCAAACGGAGCCGUAAUCUUUGAAGAUCUCGAACAACUCGGUGAGGUCCUUUAGAUGGUCUCGCUCUUCUUUACUCUAGACUACUAUAUAAUCAAUGUAGAUGUCCAUUGUGCUCCCCAU
rnacentral:lncRNA from 1 species